CCUACGUGGGUCAGCAGUGGGGAAUAUUGGACAAUGGGCGAAAGCCUGAUCCAGCCAUGCCGCGUGUGUGAAGAAGGCCUUCGGGUUGUAAAGCACUUUCAGUGGGGAAGAAAGCCUUGGGGCUAAUACCCUCGAGGAAGGACAUCACCCACAGAAGAAGCACCGGCUAACUCCGUGCCAGCAGCCGCGGUAAUACGGAGGGUGCGAGCGUUAAUCGGAAUUACUGGGCGUAAAGCGCGCGUAGGCGGUCUGAUAAGCCGGUUGUGAAAGCCCCGGGCUCAACCUGGGAACGGCAUCCGGAACUGUCAGGCUAGAGUGCAGGAGAGGAAGGUAGAAUUCCCGGUGUAGCGGUGAAAUGCGUAGAGAUCGGGAGGAAUACCAGUGGCGAAGGCGGCCUUCUGGACUGACACUGACGCUGAGGUGCGAAAGCGUGGGUAGCAAACAGGAUUAGAUACCCUGGUAGUC
rnacentral:rRNA from 1 species